AGCGAACGCUGGCGGCAGGCUUAACACAUGCAAGUCGAGCGGGCAUCUUCGGAUGUCAGCGGCAGACGGGUGAGUAACACGUGGGAACGUACCCUUCGGUUCGGAACAACUCUGGGAAACUGGAGCUAAUACCGGAUACGCCCUUAUGGGGAAAGGUUUACUGCCGAAGGAUCGGCCCGCGUCUGAUUAGCUAGUUGGUGGGGUAACGGCCUACCAAGGCGACGAUCAGUAGCUGGUCUGAGAGGAUGAUCAGCCACACUGGGACUGAGACACGGCCCAGACUCGUAGGGGAGGUAGAAGUGGGGAAUAUAGGACAAGGGGCGCAAGGCUGAAACAGCCAGGGCGCGUGAGUGACGAAGGCGUUAGGGUUGGAAAGCGCUUUUGUCCGGGACGAGAAUGACGGUACCGGAAGAAUAAGCCCCGGCUAACUUCGUG
rnacentral:rRNA from 1 species